UUCAUGUUCAAUUUAUACAUAUAGGGAGAGAAUCGGAAAUAAAUUGCCAGAAAGAGAACAAUGGAAAGGACUAGGUUCCUAGCCAAGCCAGGGAAUCUACGACCGAUUGUCAAAAAAUCUCUCGCUACGGGGUAAGAAGCAAGGAAGGAGUGCCACUUUCAAGAAUUCUUUUUUAGUUCAAUCACCCGCCGAAGCGAUUUCCUAUCGGUCUUGACCUUCUCAGAGACUUGCCAAGAUAGCGAUCUGCUCUUAUAUUAUAGAUAUUAUAAGACGAUAUUAGAAAAAAGAACCCCUCUCUCUUUCCUUUAUGUGCGCUCUCUCUUCAGUCAUGUGCUUAAAUAAUUAGGAGACGAAGGGAUUUGCAACUUUGGUGAUGCUUUGUUUUUAUGGAAGAUGAUGAAGAAGGUGGAAGGAUUGCGGAUUUGGUGCGGCGUCGGUUUACAUAAUCGAAGCUUUCUCUACACGUAAAUUUCAUGAUCAUUCAGUUUUCUUUUUCCAAUUUUGUAUUAUUCUCUUUGAUCCCGAUGAUUGUGUUUAGUCAGUGAUGUUAAUCUCUGCUUCACCGAUUGAUUGUACUGUUGUAUGUUAAUCACAAUUCAAGGUAACAACUCUCCAUAUAUAUAUAUAUUAAACUUACGUUUUGUCAUCCUUUUCAAAUUAGGGGUUAUUGGUUAAAUUUUCAUGAUAUCAAUGAUAGAGAAGGUUAAACAGGGCUGAAUAAAGUGCUUUCUUGGUUAAAUUUUCAUGAUAUCAAUGUAUAAUUGUAUGAACAUGGAUCCCCUUAACCAAAUUCGUUUUGUUUAUUGAUUUGUUAAUUAAUUUUAAUCUUUGUUUCGUGCCCAUGUCUUGAUUACAAAAAAUCUCAAAUCAUUUUCUCAUUUUAUCACCAAUGUUUGUGCCAUCAUUGGUGGUGUUUUCAAGGUUCGUCUUUAUCUCACUCUUUUCUUUGUGUGUGGGAUUAUUUGUGGCUGGAUUGUGAGAUUACUACUUGAUUAUGUGAUUGAUCAGGUUGAUGGGAUACUGGAUUCGUUUCUGCACAACACAUUGAGACUGGUCAAAAGAGUUAAAUUGGGGAAGAACUUUUAGCAUCUACCCAUCAAAGACCAUUGUUACUAUAUACAUUUGAAUGUUAUUAUAUAUUUUGUUAGAAAAUUUUGGAUUUACACUAUCUAUAUAUCUAUACUUGUGCUCCAAAUACACAUAAAACAAAACUUUUCAAAUGUUCUGGUGCAAUUCUACCACUUAUGACAGAAUUUCAGAUUGAUGCGGAUCAACGUGACAACCAAAUCAUUGUUGGCAAACCAUCUGGCUGAAUCAAUGACAUGAUCCAUGAUAAUAAGAGCUUUUCAUCAAGAGGAACGAUUAUUUGCCAAAAAUCGUGACAUAUUUUGGCUUCGAUGAUUCUAAAAGGCGUUGGCAGCAUUUUAUUUGUAUGUGGCAGCACCACCAGUGCCUAUUUGCUGAUGCCAUUUAAUAAAUUCCAAUACGCUGUCUGCUGGAACUUAUUCCGAUUAAAUUAGUGUUUACGAAGCGGCACACAAAAUGCUAAUUCAUAUGUGUAGCAUUGAAGUUUGAUCAAAUCUUAAUCUUCAUCUGCAGAUAUAUUACUUGCUACUUAUGAGUCCAUUGCUACGUGACUUCUAUGACUAUGACAUGAAUGAUCCAAAGUUUCAUCCUUGUUUUUAA